ensembl:lncRNA
CAAGGCAGGUACUAAAGAAUUUGACAAACACACUUCCUCGAGCCCCCGCCGAUUUUAUAUUCUUGAGGGUUCAUUGACAGCCCAAAAAAGUUUGAAUCAGUUUCUUAAGUGCAAGUUAAAGUUGUAUUUCUGAGAUGGUCGCAGUGCUGCAGGUGGCACCGGAGGUAGAUUUGGAGAUCUUCAGGAAGCCUGAAUAAGGUGUGAUUUGAGAUAGUUGCAGACUGGACCGGUGGGAAUUGUGCGCGGGACAGGGGCAGAUGAGAAGAUGGAUACUUGCCUAAUAUUGCGAGUGACACUUUUCGGAAUGAUGUUGCUGGGACUUGUUACUCCGGCACAAACUAAAGCGGGGUGUGUUUGCAGAGAGAAAUCAGGGUGCAACUGUGAAGGAAUCAAAGGACAAAAGACUAGAUGACAUUUUCAUUGGAUAAAGAAAUAUUUUGAAUAGAGGAUUUGUAGUUUAGCCGAAAGGUGUGAAGUUAAAAACAUCUUAAUAAUGGAUUUUUUUUACUAACAAGCAU